rnacentral:rRNA from 1 species
AAGCAGCCAUCAUUUAAAGAAAGCGUAAUAGCUCACUGGUCGAGUCGGCCUGCGCGGAAGAUGUAACGGGGCUAAACCAUGCACCGAAGCUGCGGCAGCGACACUAUGUGUUGUUGGGUAGGGGAGCGUUCUGUAAGCCUGCGAAGGUGUGCUGUGAGGCAUGCUGGAGGUAUCAGAAGUGCGAAUGCUGACAUAAGUAACGAUAAAGCGGGUGAAAAGCCCGCUCGCCGGAAGACCAAGGGUUCCUGUCCAACGUUAAUCGGGGCAGGGUGAGUCGACCCCUAAGGCGAGGCCGAAAGGCGUAGUCGAUGGGAAACAGGUUAAUAUUCCUGUACUUGGUGUUACUGCGAAGGGGGGACGGAGAAGGCUAUGUUAGCCGGGCGACGGUUGUCCCGGUUUAAGCAUGUAGGCUGGUUGUCCAGGCAAAUCCGGAUAAUCAAGGCUGAGGUGUGAUGACGAGGCACUACGGUGCUGAAGUAACAAAUGCCCUGCUUCCAGGAAAAGCCUCUAAGCAUCAGGUAACAUUAAAUCG